rnacentral:rRNA from 1 species
UGGGGAAUAUUGCGCAAUGGGCGAAAGCCUGACGCAGCGACGCCGCGUGAGGGAUGAAGGCCUUCGGGUUGUAAACCUCUUUCAGCGCCGAAGAAGCGAAAGUGACGGUAGGCGCAGAAGAAGCACCGGCUAACUACGUGCCAGCAGCCGCGGUAAUACGUAGGGUGCAAGCGUUGUCCGGAAUUAUUGGGCGUAAAGAGCUCGUAGGCGGUUUGUCGCGUCUGCUGUGAAAACUCGGGGCUUAACCCCGGGCCUGCAGUGGGUACGGGCAGACUAGAGUGCGGUAGGGGAGACUGGAAUUCCUGGUGUAGCGGUGAAAUGCGCAGAUAUCAGGAGGAACACCGGUGGCGAAGGCGGGUCUCUGGGCCGUAACUGACGCUGAGGAGCGAAAGCGUGGGGAGCGAACAGGAUUAGAUACCCUGGUAGUCCACGCCGUAAACGUUGGGCGCUAGGUGUGGGGCUCUUUCCACGAGUUCCGUGCCGCAGCAAACGCAUUAAGCGCCCCGCCUGGGGAGUACGGCCGCAA